rnacentral:rRNA from 1 species
UGGGGAAUAUUGCACAAUGGGCGAAAGCCUGAUGCAGCAACGCCGCGUGAGCGAUGAAGGCCUUCGGGUCGUAAAGCUCUGUCCUCAAGGAAGAUAAUGACGGUACUUGAGGAGGAAGCCCCGGCUAACUACGUGCCAGCAGCCGCGGUAAUACGUAGGGGCUAGCGUUAUCCGGAAUUACUGGGCGUAAAGGGAGCGUAGGUGGCAAGGCAAGUCAGAUGUGAAAUCCCGGGGCUCAACCCCGGCUACGUGCAUUUGGAAACUGUUCAUGGCUGAGAGUGCAGGAGAGGUAAGCGGAAUUCCUAGUGUAGCGGUGAAAUGCGUAGAUAUUAGGAGGAACACCAGUGGCGAAGGCGGCUUACUGGACUGUAACUGACACUGAGGCUCGAAAGCGUGGGGAGCAAACAGGAUUAGAUACC